rnacentral:tRNA from 1 species
GGGGUUGUAACUCAGUGGAAGAGCACUUGCCUAGCAUGUGUGAGGUACUGGUUUCAAUUCUCAGCACCUCA